UACAGAGGGUGCAAGCGUUAAUCGGAAUUACUGGGCGUAAAGGGUGCGUAGGUGGUUUAGUAAGUUGAUUGUGAAAUCCCUGGGCUUAACCUAGGAAUUGCAGUCAAUACUGUUAGACUAGAGUAGAAUAGAGGGUAGUAGAAUUUCCGGUGUAGCGGUGAAAUGCGUAGAUAUCGGAAGGAACACCAGUGGCGAAGGCGACUACCUGGAUUCAUACUGACACUGAGGCACGAAAGCGUGGGGAGCAAAC
rnacentral:rRNA from 1 species